rnacentral:lncRNA from 1 species
CCUAUGACUAAUAUAUAUAUAUAUAUAUAUAUAUAUAUAUAUAUCUUUCACUUAUUUUCUUUCAUACGUACCAGUAAUUAACCAGCAGCUUGUUGUUGAUUCUGAAAAAAGAAAGAAACAAAAGAUGGUCAUAAUCUCAAGAUCAUUUGCAGCUGCUUCACUUCUUAUCUCUCUUAUGCUUCUCCAUCCCAUCACCCAUUCCCACCAAGCGGUAAUAAUUUAAUUAAUUAUUUAUUUGUAUACUUAAUAUUUGCAUUAUAUAUUAAUAUACGUGCAGUACAUAUACGCGCACACAUACACUAGAGCUUUAGCUAUCAGUACAUGCAUGGUUAGUAAACCCAAUUUGAUUCUAAGUAGUUUCUCUAUGCUCUAGAUCGUAAAUUAGGGGUUGAGUAUGAUAUUUAGGGAUGGGUAUGAGAGAUUUGGGGCUGAAAUUAGGGAUGGAUAUAAGAGAUAAGAGAUUUAGUGGAGUUGAGAGGGCUGGGUAUAAGAGAUAAG